UACGGGGGGGGCAAGCGUUGUUCGGAAUUACUGGGCGUAAAGGGCUCGUAGGCGGCCAGGUAGGUCGGUUGUGAAAACUGGAGGCUCAACCUUCAGAGGUCGACCGAAACCAUCUGGCUAGAGUCCGGGAGAGGAGAGUGGAAUUCCUGGUGUAGCGGUGAAAUGCGCAGAUAUCAGGAAGAACACCCGUGGCGAAAGCGGCUCUCUGGAACGGUACUGACGCUGAGGCGCGAAAGCUAGGGGAGCGAACGGG
rnacentral:rRNA from 1 species